CUGGAAGUGGCGGCGUGCUAUACAUGCAGUUGAGCGCUGAAGGUUGGUACUUGUACCGACUGGAUGAGCAGCGAACGGGUGAGUAACGCGUGGGGAAUCUGCCUUUGAGCGGGGGACAACAUUUGGAAACGAAUGCUAAUACCGCAUAAAAACUUUAAACACAAGUUUUAAGUUUGAAAGAUGCAAUUGCAUCACUCAAAGAUGAUCCCGCGUUGUAUUAGCUAGUUGGUGAGGUAAAGGCUCACCAAGGCGAUGAUACAUAGCCGACCUGAGAGGGUGAUCGGCCACAUUGGGACUGAGACACGGCCCAAACUCCUACGGGAGGCAGCAGUAGGGAAUCUUCGGCAAUGGACGAAAGUCUGACCGAGCAACGCCGCGUGAGUGAAGAAGGUUUUCGGAUCGUAAAACUCUGUUGGUAGAGAAGAACGUUGGUGAGAGUGGAAAGCUCAUCAAGUGACGGUAACUACCCAGAAAGGGACGGCUAACUACGUGCCAGCAGCCGCGGUAAUACGUAGGUCCCGAGCGUUGUCCGGAUUUAUUGGGCGUAAAGCGAGCGCAGGUGGUUUAUUAAGUCUGGUGUAAAAGGCAGUGGCUCAACCA
rnacentral:rRNA from 1 species